rnacentral:rRNA from 1 species
ACAGCAGCCGCGGUAAUACGUAGGGAGCGAGCGUUAUCCGGAUUUAUUGGGCGUAAAGCGUGUGUAGGCGGUUUAUUAAGUAUAAGAUUAAAGCCUGGGGCUCAACUCCAGUUCGUCUUAUAAACUGAUAGACUUGAGUAUGGUAGAGGCAAAUGGAAUUUCUAGUGUAGCGGUAAAAUGCGUAGAUAUUAGAAGGAACAUCAGUGGCGAAGGCGAUUUGCUGGGCCAUUACUGACGCUGAGACACGAAAGCGUGGGGAGCAAAUAGGAUUAGAUACCCUAGUAGUCCACGCUGUAAACUAUGAGUACUAAGUGUUGGGGUUUCCCAGUGCUGAAGUUAACGCAUUAAGUACUCCGCCUGAGUAGUACGGUCGCAAGGCUGAAACUUAAAGGAAUUGGCGGGGGA